rnacentral:rRNA from 1 species
UACGGAGGGUGCAAACGUUGCUCGGAAUCAUUGGGCGUAAAGCGUGUGUAGGCGGCUUGUUAAGUCGGGUGUGAAAGCCCUGGGCUCAACCCAGGAAGUGCACUCGAAACUGGCGAGCUUGAGUACGGGAGAGGGUCGCGGAAUUCCCGGUGUAGAGGUGAAAUUCGUAGAUAUCGGGAGGAACACCAGUGGCGAAGGCGGCGACCUGGACCGAUACUGACGCUGAGGCGCGAAAGCUAGGGGAGCAAACGGG